rnacentral:misc_RNA from 1 species
UUGCUUUCUCCGUUGAAACAGGUGCCUCUUUUGUGGAAGACUUCGAAUCAAUAGAUGUCUGACUAUCUGCUACAGGCACCGGAAGAGCACUUGCACUGCCAAAGACUUCAUCGUUGUUUGAUAUCUCCAACUUUGCAACAUCAAGCUCAUGUUUGUCAGUUAUUGCCUCCCUCAGCCGCAAUUCUUUGGAAUCUGCUGAUGAAAAUAUUUGUUCCUUCUUCG